GGGCAUAAUGCCUGUUAGGCAGUUUACUCUGCAAAAGUAAAUGGGGUGGUUUAUGAUUAUCUGUGCCUU
rnacentral:tRNA from 1 species